rnacentral:lncRNA from 10 species
CGCAUCGAUCCCGCUUUAAUAGGUAUGCGGGUGUGCUGUGCAAUCUAACUAAACGCAAAGCAGAGAAUGCAGAACGCAAAACACCUAGCCGAGGAGAGACUGGCAAAAUAAACCACCGGGGGAGGAUCCCUGAGGGGCUGCUGCGAGCCCGGCGCGGCAGAGAGCACGGCAGCCACUACCGGCCGAGGCGGCUGUGCCCGGGCACUGCGGAGAGCGGCGUGAAGUUUCUGGAAAGAGCGCGGCGGGGGUGAGGCGAGCCGCAGAAGACCGCGGAAAGGAAGCGCACGGAGGAGCGGCUCGGCAGCCCCCGUGGGCCGGCCGGAGCGGGAAAGUGGGGUCCCGCGACCUCCGAGGCACCUGAACCAACCAAUAAGCUGUAACCUAUGUCAACCAAUCAAAACUCAGCAAACAUCAGGC